ensembl:lncRNA
AUGUGCCUUUGGUGAGGGUUAAUGGAGCUUUAUUAGUCACUGUUUGAAUAACUGGAUAUCACUGCCAUUCCAGGGAAGUCAUCUAUUCUAAUUUUGAGGAACAGUCUUUGAGGUGGGUUUCCUUAAUAUGGUAUCUUUUCCAACUGGUAGAUCUUUUGAAGCAAGAUAAAUCCUGUAGAGCCAACUUGUUUAGAGUACACAUCAGUGAAGCCAGCACACCUUCCGCACAAACAUCAUGUCGCAUCGCUUUGAGCUGGGUGAGCCCGGGCAGGAUCCAAGCCCAGGCCCUCUCCCUCCUGGGCAGCAGAGUGGCAUCCGUCAGCACUGCUCACUCAGAGCUGGCUCAGUGAUGCCUCCUGCAGUGGGCAGGGCAACGAGACCGUGGAACAGCUACCUGGGCUUCACUCAGCAUCACCAGAUGUCAUCAGAAGAUCACAGCAGCAGCGAAAGUGCUGGUUCUGCAGUACUGGAGAAUCGCAUUCAGCUUCUUUUUCCUAAUUAUGAAGGAGUUCUUCACAGGCACUCUGAAGGGUCCAAAAGAAAAUUCCUGCCCUCAAGCAACACCUCAUCCAUUAUUUCUCAGUCAUACCAUGCCAUCUAUUCAUCAACCACCUCAUAUUUUUACCAAAGUAAACCUCCAGUUCUGCUCACCUGGCAAACUGGAAAGUGUUUAAAAGGAUGCUCAGUCAUUGGUCCAUGCCAGCAUGAAAGAACUCCAAGCACACUUAAGAAGGUUGGUCUUUUCAUCAUGCAUUUUUUUUUUUUUUAAUGCAAAAUCAGACUUAAGUUUGGGAAGGAGAAUAGUGUAGAAUAUUCUUAGUAGGGCAAAUCACAACUAAAAGUAAGCUCUAUUGCCCUAAGUGGAUCAAUGAGAAAGUCUUUUUAAAGAAAUACUUAGCUAUCAACAGAAGAGAUCAAUGUAUAUUUUAUCUACUCCCCUUUGUAGAUUCUGCUGAUCCAAUCAUUUCCACACAGCCUUUAAACAUCUCAUUUGCUCAGACUCCUUACAUGUGGUAGAUAGGCUGUUGCUUCAUCUGAUAAAUCAAAAUAAUGAAGAUAUUUAAAACUUAGCAAAAUUUCACUUACUCUAGAACACUUGGGCAUUCAAACUCAGUAAAAAGGGCACCUUACAAAAAUAAGGGAGGUUGCAUGAGUUUUUCCAUUUUUUCCUUCAAUAUCAGUCCCUUUCUAUCCAGCCUGCUUCCCAUCCGUCACUAGAGGCAGCCUUUCGGCCACAGCUUUUGUCAUGCCCAGAGGUGCUGAGAUGUCAGUGACUGGAAUGGCAUAGGGAACACAGUCUCCUGGGCUCCUUCUCCAUGGUUUACAGUGUUCUGUAGUUGUGCACAGAAUUUAGGUCAUGCCUUUAAUGUCUUGGUCUUUACUUUAUACCACCCCCUUUGACAAUCAGGUGCUAAUGAUUCUAUUGGAACCAGCAUGUAUUGUGUAAAUGUCUGUUCUGUGCAGGUUGGAAGAAGUGCUUUCCUUUUAUCUCAGUCCUGUUCAGGUGGGUGUCAGUUACAUUUUCUCACCUCUUGUUUUGUGAAUUAAUAGAAGUUAGAGGAAAAAUGACUUAAACUACAAGUUUGGGGUUUGGCACAGUCAUCAAUCUUGAUGACACUCUUCAUACUUUAACCAAAUCUUCUCUAUCAAAAGAACCAAUUUCCAAUUGUUUUUCUCUUGUUUGGACUCCAGUGUUAUGUUUUACAGUCUGGGUAACACUGUAACACUGAUGGGUUCGGCAUGAUAUGACCUGGGUACCCAAAGAAUCUGUUUCCUUUGUGGUACCAGACCCAAGGUCUUUUAGAAACUAAUGUGGCAAAACACCACCUAUAAAGGCCUGUUUUGGCUGAUCUGUGCAAACUCUGAUUAUACCCUCUUGUAUGUAUUUUGUCCCACACAACUCUUGUUUUUUAAGUAUUAAGACGUAAAAAGCUAAGAUAACACUUCUACAAGGAGUUAAAAGUAUGUGAUAUUCUGAUUUUUUCCUUCCUUUUGGAAUCCUGUAUUUAAACAAGACGUCUUUUUAAGUAUUGUUUAAAAUUUAGGUCUCAAGUCUUCUGGCAUUACCAGACUACCAAAUCAAAACCCAUGGUGUAAAACAGGGCAGUAUUUGUGUUCUUAAUAAUGAAAAAGCUUUAUGUGUACUCUGUAAGUAUAACGCAUAGACAACACUUUCCCUUGAGUUGCACAUCAACAUAGAGCAUUGUACAUUACAAUGAAGUUUGUAACUUAAGGGUAUUAUAUAUAUAAAUACAUAUAUACCUUUGUAACCUUUAUACUGUAAAUAAAAGAAUUGCUUUUAGACUUGUUUUUUCACACUUUCUAACAUUAAAAUCGU